CGUGACGCCGUGCAACUAGUGACAACAGUUUGAGUGCAAUUAACGCCUCUUUCGCGCGGCACGGAAAUGACUAAUUUCCAAAAAAAAAUGAAAAGAAAAAAACAAACAUCAAAAACAAACUAAAAUAAUGUUAAUUCGAAUUGGUAACUGAUCGGCAAUAUAAUUUGAGCCGUGUCAAAUUACUUUCAAAAUUGACUAAAGUUAACAAAUUAUUAACCGAAAAACGAAAAACGAAAAAAAAAAAAAAAACACCAGCACAGGAAAUUGCAAUUAACUUAAAUUAAAAGCGCCGAAAACGCGCGCGACUUUAAACGCGAUCAAUGCGGGCGCGCGUCGCCCACAGUGGUGCGUGCGUGUGGUGCUGCGCUCGGUGGUGUCAUCUUCCCUGUUCUACUUACUCGACCGAUGACAAACAUGAUUUGUAGCAACCGUUUUGGGUGCGGUCAAACUUAAUUGAAUUAGCUCGGCGAUCUUCCGUUCUUCUGGAACAUGCACUUAUACGGAAGGGGGCAAAUGCAUGGCACGAAAUACCAGAGUGAGAGAGGGGACAUGCAAGUAACUCCGAACCACAAGAUAUUCCCUUUAAUUUUGAUGUCCAACUAAUUUGCAUUCGAAUUUCCAAUAUAUACGGCAGUCCAUAAAGGGCUAUUGAACCACUUUGCAAGAACUAACUCAUGUAUGCACGGCUUAUCAGAAAGCAACUAGCCGGAUGCAUAAUCAUGAAUGUAAUCCAAAAAAAACAAAACAAAAGCAAAUAGAAAACUUCACAAUGAGAUUUAUGUUUAUGUAAGUAGAAUGCGUUGAACGAGUACACCUCAUAUCUCAUAUUUAUCAACUAAAUAAAGUUGGCAGAAUAGCUUAGUAUUUCAA